CUGAAUGAGGCGUUUUCCUCCGUGGUGAAGACAACGGAUCCUUUCUUUCAGAAACCUGAACAUGGAGGAGAGAGUUCACAUACGAACAGCCUGUGCUAAGAGAAGAAUGUCAGAAGGCAAUGAGGUCUCCAUAAAGACAUCUAACAACUCUCAGCUUUCGACUCAAGACCAACAGAACAGGGUCAGAGACUGCAGGCUUGUUCAGUUGCUGAGAAACAGCCAGCUAGGUUGUUGGCUGAGUAAAACCUGCGCAGACAGGCUCGUACUUCAGCUUCUGAGAGCCGGCCUCUUCCUGCUGUUUAUCUGGCUUCUGGUGGAACUGCACGCGGUCCUGCCCUGCCUCUUUCUCUGUGGCUGCCUUUUUGAUGGCCCACUCAGGAAGGCAGCGAAUGCAGCCUGGACCCGGAUUACAGCUCCUGUAAAGGCUAAAGUGCUGAAGACAACGCCACACACUGAUGGAUGCUCAGAGGGAACAAGGUCACAACCUCGCGACCAAACUACACUAAAAUCCAAUAAAAUGCACCAUUGAAGUUGAAGUUGGGCACUAUAAAAUGACUACAUCACAGGGCAUUUCUUCACAGCAGGAAGUACAUCAGGCAAUACCCAUCAAAAUGACUGUAUUUGGUGAAAUUCUGAAGAGCAAUUGUAAAUGCUUUUUGUCUUAAAAACUUUCAUUUAAAUGAAUUUAAAUCAAAUUUGAACUGAUAUUGUGCACUGUUCACUUUCAAAUUAAGGAAAAAAAUUAUUAUUCGACUGAAGUGCCCUAGGUGCAUGUCCUACUGUGUCUUUAAAACACAAAGCUCAGAUUACUAAGGACAGACUUCGUAUGCAACAAAAACAGCAGCACAGGCAAAAUUUUGAUUUGAUCGAUUAAAGAAAUUUAUUCAGGUCAUUAAACUAAUCAAUCUUGUGAAAUUUCAGAUGGCACUUUAAUUUACUGAACACAAUUUUAGCUCAUUGUCUGCAUCGAAAUAGAGCCUGACCCUGCAUGGCUGAGGUAGCCAUGACAACAGACCACAGAUUGUCCUCGACCACACUUUCCAGCACUGGCGAGUUACAGAGCUGCUUAUUUUAAUGAAACACUUGGAGAAAUUGUGCUGAAUAGCAUCCAGAACUAUGGUCUCCGCCACUUUAAUUAGCCUGGUAUUUAUACGGUUGCUAAGGGACACAAACACAGAGGAGGCAAGAAGAGUUUUCUUCCAUUUAUUAAGUUUGAAGCCCACUUAUACAAAACUCAUGAACUGCUUUUAGAACACUUUGAUAGCUUUCCCAACAUUUGGAAAUAAAUUAAGGAGAAGAAGUAAACAGCAACACACAAAAAAAAAAAAA